rnacentral:rRNA from 1 species
UACGUAGGGCGCAAGCGUUGUCCGGAAUUAUUGGGCGUAAAGAGCUCGUAGGCGGCCAGUUGCGUCUGCUGUGAAAUCCCGGGGCUCAACCCCGGGCUUGCAGUGGAUACGGGCUGGCUGGAGGCAGGCAGGGGAGAACGGAAUUCCCGGUGUAGCGGUGAAAUGCGCAGAUAUCGGGAGGAACACCGGUGGCGAAGGCGGUUCUCUGGGCCUUACCUGACGCUGAGGAGCGAAAGCGUGGGGAGCGAACAGG